rnacentral:lncRNA from 1 species
CUGUUUGGGAAGUGGGAAAUUUUUUCACUUGCUUAGCUCGAGGCUCAUUUGCUGUGCUGCGAAUUCAGUAUAAUUUUGCAUUUCAUGGCGUUGUGGCGCGUUUCCGGUAACUACUGAGCGGCAUUUUCGUGACACCGAACGAAUUGGGUGAAGUGGACUUUGGUGACCGACCGACAUAUGUACAUACAUACAUACAUACGCACGUAUUACAAGCCGUAUGAAUUUGUGUGAAUAAAUUUCGGUUUGUUAAGUAAAUUGCAUCCGGCCAGAAAUUCAGGCCGGUCAUUAGAUUCGUAAGAUUAAUUGCGAAAAGUCUUUCAUUGCCAUCUGUGGCUAUUCUUCUGUUCUUUGCUGGCUGCCGUUUGGCGUUUAUCUCACCUACAAAUGUAUUACUAGAUAUGUAUACACACAUGUGCAUACAUAUAUUUAUGUAUGGACGGGUGCAUGUGUGUACAUGUAUUUAAUGUGGCUGCUGUUAUGCGUGGGUAAAAUUGAUUCACCCGCACACGUAACUACUUAUUCGCAAUCAAGUUUGUGUUGUAAUUAAUUUAUUUACAUUUCCGUUUCGCUACGAACUAACAAUGCCAGUGGAAUUCAUAAAGUGAAGCAUUGUGGCGGAAGAGGCAGCUGUGAAGACAAUACACGAAUACUUACGUAGAUACAUAUACGUAUAUACAUUUGCAGCUCUCACAUAAAAUCUUGAUAACAAUUGCUGCUGGCAUUCCGGCUGGCGAUUAUUUGUGCGUGGAAAAGAAGCAAAUUUUAACGAUUGCAAUAAUUCCCAUUAUGUGACUUAAAUUGUGCACUUAUAAAGGCGAGUAAUAAGGGCAUUCAAAUAUUGCAUGUAUGUACACGUAUGUUUACAAAGUGCAGAUACAAUAAGAAAAUAACGAAGAAAUAUUAAUUUGGUCUUUUAUAAAAUCAAGUGAAAAUUAACUGUUGAAGUAUUUAAAACCAAAACUGGUUGUUGUGAGAUGCUUUAGUGAGCUUGCAGUAACUGGUGUGAAUAAUUGAAACUCAUCAGAAACGCCGUACUAAGGACACAAAUGAUUCGCGCGCUGCAGGUGUAAAAGCCUGGAGGAUAUGUGUAUAAAAACAAUAAAGCCCUCUAGCCAAAGGACGAAAAUUUGGCUUUUGUUUGCGUCCAACCAACAACAGGAAAUACAAAUCGUGCCCGCACUAAGCCGAGAGCCGACGGAGUUGUAGUAACGUGACGUGCCGAAAAUGGCAAAGGACUCCUCGAAGUAACUUGAGUGAAGUGUGAGAGACAUUGAGGCAAAUUGAAAUUAACCGCUGCUUGUAGCAUACCAGCAGUUUGUGCGACGUAACUGUCAAUAAAAUGGUAAAGUACGGCAAAAUUGUCAAGUAAAAAUUGCCAAAUUGCUCCGAGACAAGAAAAGUGGAAACAACAAAAAACAAACAUCGAUAGUGUAGUGCAAACAAACAACUGUAAUAAAAAUCCUACAACAAUAACAGCAACUCUAAGGAAGUCAACUAGCAAUUGACAUUAACAUCCUACGCGACAGACACAAAGGCGAUCGAUCCUUCCCUGUCCACAGCCAACUUGUUAUCCCGUUAGCUAUUAUCCUUCGCCUGCUUCGCGUUUAUCCGCUUAGAAAGUUAUUUUUUUUUCGUUAUUCGCCCCCAACGAAUUG